rnacentral:rRNA from 1 species
UACAGAGGUCCCAAGCGUUGUUCGGAUUCACUGGGCGUAAAGGGUGCGUAGGUGGCCAAGUAAGUCUGAUGUGAAAUCUUCGAGCUCAACUCGGAAAUGGCAUUGGAUACUAUUUAGCUGGAGGGUCGGAGGGGGGACUGGAAUUUUCGGUGUAGCAGUGAAAUGCGUAGAGAUGUGGAGGAACACCGAUGGCGAAGGCAGCCUUCUGGGCCAACACUGACGCUCAUGCACGAAAGCGUGGGGAGCAAACAGG